UGAAAAGACUUGAUCUCCGCAAUUUCAGAAUCUUCUUGGUAAAUGGCCUGUUCUUCCUGAUUGGAAUAGCCAUUCUUCAGCCAUCCUUCAGCCCAGAUUCUUCAAGCUUCUUGCCGGCCAAGCUCCUCUGUUCUUCUCGCCGGAUUCAUUUUCUCCGGUUUCGUUCUCGCCUGAGAUUUCUCCGUUCGGGCUCCUCCGGUUUCCUCCGUUCUUCCCGUUCUCAUCUCGGCCUCUUCUCACCAAGGAAAAACUUUGAGAGAUGGAGAGGAUUUUAGGCAAAA